ACUCCUACGGGAGGCAGCAGUGGGGAAUAUUGGGCAAUGGGCGCAAGCCUGACCCAGCAAUUCCGCGUGGGUGAAGAAGGUCUUCGGAUCGUAAAGCCCUUUCGGCGGGGACGAUGGUGACGGUACCCGCAGAAGAAGCCCCGGCUAACUUCGUGCCAGCAGCCGCGGUAAUAC
rnacentral:rRNA from 1 species